GCGAGCAUGGUCCAGUGGCUAUGACGCUCGCCUCACACGCGAGAGGUCCCGGGUUCGAUCCCCGGUGCUCGUA
rnacentral:tRNA from 1 species